UCCGGUUUGUCACCGGCAGUCUCGCAUGAGUCCCCAACUAAAUGCUGGCAACAUGCGACGGGGGUUGCGCUCGUUGCGGGACUUAACCCAACAUGUCACCACACGAGCUGACGACAGCCAUGCAGCACCUGUCUUGGGACUCCGAAGAGGGGACUCGGUUUCUCGAGCCUUUCCCCAAGAUGUCAAGCCCAGGUAAGGUUCUUCGCGUUGCGUCGAAUUAAUCCGCAUGCUCCGCCGCUUGUGCGGGCCCCCGUCAAUUCCUUUGAGUUUUAGCCUUGCGGCCGUACUCCCCAGGCGGGGCGCUUAAUGCGUUAGCUGCGGCACAGAAGGCCGGAGAGGCCCCCCACACCUAGCGCCCAACGUUUACAGCGUGGACUAC
rnacentral:misc_RNA from 1 species